UACGAGGGGGGCAAAUGUUGUUCGGAAUCACUGGGCGUAAAGGGAGCGUAGGCGGGUGUUUAAGUUAGGUGUUUAAUCCUGGGGCCCAACCCCAGUCGUGCACCUAAAACUGGACAUCUUGAAUAGGGGAGAGGUCAGUGGAAUUGGAGGUGUAGCGGUGAAAUGCGUAGAUAUCUGGAGGAACACCGGUGGCGAAGGCGGGUCUCUGGGCAGUAACUGACGCUGAGGAGCGAAAGCGUGGGGAGCGAACAGG
rnacentral:rRNA from 1 species